rnacentral:rRNA from 1 species
GACGAGCGCUGGCGGCGUGCCUAAUACAUGCAAGUAGAACGCUGAAGGAGGAGCUUGCUUCUCUGGAUGAGUUGCGAACGGGUGAGUAACGCGUAGGUAACCUGCCUGGUAGCGGGGGAUAACUAUUGGAAACGAUAGCUAAUACCGCAUAACAGUAGAUAUCGCAUGAUAUCUACUUGAAAGGUGCAAUUGCAUCACUACCAGAUGGACCUGCGUUGUAUUAGCUAGUUGGUGAGGUAACGGCUCACCAAGGCGACGAUACAUAGCCGACCUGAGAGGGUGAUCGGCCACACUGGGACUGAGACACGGCCCAGACUCCUACGGGAGGCAGCAGUAGGGAAUCUUCGGCAAUGGACGGAAGUCUGACCGAGCAGCGCCGCGUGAGUGAAGAAGGUUUUCGGAUCGUAAAGCUCUGUUGUAAGAGAAGAACGAGUGUGAGAGUGGAAAGUUCACACUGUGACGGUAUCUCACCAGAAAGGGACGGCUAACUACGUG